rnacentral:rRNA from 1 species
UACAGAGGUCUCAAGCGUUGUUCGGAUUCAUUGGGCGUAAAGGGUGCGUAGGCGGCGCGGUAAGUCGGGUGUGAAAUCUCGGAGCUUAACUCCGAAACUGCAUUCGAUACUGCCGUGCUUGAGGACUGGAGAGGAGACUGGAAUUUACGGUGUAGCGGUGAAAUGCGUAGAUAAUCGUAAGGAAGACCAGUGGCGAAGGCGGGUCUCGUGGACAGUUCCUGACGCUGAGGCACGAAGGUCAGGGGAGCAAACGGGG